rnacentral:rRNA from 1 species
CGGCGGACGGGUAAGUAACGCGUGGGUAACCUACCCCAAAGUCCGGGAUAACAGCGGGAAACCGCUGCUAAUACCGGAUGCCUUUACCUUGGGGCAUCUUGAGGUAAAGAAAGGCAACGCUUUGGGAUGGGCCCGCGUCCCAUUAGCUAGUUGGUGAGGUAACGGCUCACCAAGGCGACGAUGGGUAGCCGGCCUGAGAGGGUGGACGGCCACACUGGGACUGAGACACGGCCCAGACUCCUACGGGAGGCAGCAGUAGGGAAUAUUGCGCAAUGGACGGAAGUCUGACGCAGCGACGCCGCGUGAGCGAUGAAGGUCUUCGGAUUGUAAAGCUCUGUCCUUGGGGAAGAAGGUCUUCGGACUUGACGGUACCCAAGAAGAAAGCCCCGGCUAACUACGUGCCAGCAGCCGCGGUAAUACGUAGGGGGCGAGCGUUGUCCGGAAUUACUGGGCGUA